GGAAGGGCCAUGGCUCAGUGGUAGAGCAUGUGCUUUACAUGCAGAAGGUCCCAGGUUCAAUUCCCGGCACCUCCA
rnacentral:tRNA from 1 species